AGGUUACCAGUCAGCUCCCUCCACCUACCAAGCAAUACCCUCUCAAACCUGAAGCCGUGGAUGCGGUAACAACUGGGACUCCCCACGUUAAUCCUCCUGGCAAACAUACCUGAUGCAGCCUCCUGGGACUCGCCCUUGGUGCGUAUCACACAAGAUACCUGCUUCAAAGCUGGCCAGUAUGUGCAACUUCCUGCAGGAGGCAGCAGCGAAUGAAUUUGGAAACUGAGGCCCAGAAAGAUUCAGUGACCUGCCAAGAGCCAU